CCGCGUGUGUGAAGAAGGCCUUAGGGUUGUAAAGCACUUUAAGCGAUGAAGAAGAAAAGUGAGUUAAUACCUUACUUUUUUGACGUUACUCGCAGAAUAAGUACCGGCUAACUCCGUGCCAGCAGCCGCGGUAAUACGGAGGGUACAAGCGUUAAUCGGAAUUACUGGGCGUAAAGCGCGCGUAGGCGGUUAAGUAAGUUGGAUGUGAAAGCCCUGGGCUCAACCUAGGAACUGCAUUCAAAACUAUUUAACUAGAGUGCGAGAGAGGAGAGUAGAAUUUCUGGUGUAGUGGUGAAAUGCGUAGAUAUCAGAAGGAAUACCAAUGGCGAAGGCAGCUCUCUGGAUCGUCACUGACGCUAAGGUGCGAAAGCGUGGGUAGCAAACAGGAUUAGAUACCCUGGUAGUCCACGCCGUAACCGAUGAGAACUAGCCGUUGGGGAGAAUUAACUCUUCAGUGGCGCAGCUAACGCAUUAAGUUCUCCGCCUGGGGACUACGGCCGCAAGGCUAAAACUCAAAUGAAUUGACGGGGGCCCGCACAAGCGGUGGAUCAUGUGGUUUAAUUCGAUGCAACGCGAAGAACCUUACCUACCCUUGAAAUCCAGCGAAGUUCCUAGAGAUAGGAAUGUGCCUUCGGGAACGCUGUGACAGGUGUUGCAUGGCUGUCGUCAGCUCGUGUCGUGAGAUGUAUGGUUAAGUCCAGUAACGAGCGCAACCCCUAUCCUUAUUUGCCAGCGCAUAAUGGCGGGAACUAUAAGGAGACUGCCGGUCAUAAACCGGAGGAAGGCGGGGACGACGUCAAGUCAUCAUGGCCCUUAUGGGUAGGGCUACACACGUGAUACAAUGGGUGGU
rnacentral:rRNA from 1 species